GGCGGAGCAUGCGGAUUAAUUCGAUGCAACGCGAAGAACCUUACCAAGGCUUGACAUACACCGGUAACGCCCAGAGAUGGGUGCCCCUUUGUGGUCGGUGGACAGGUGGUGCAUGGUUGUCGUCAGCUCGUGUCGUGAGAUGUUGGGUUAAGUCCCGCAACGAGCGCAACCCUCGUCCUAUGUUGCCAGCGGGUCAUGCCGGGGACUCAUGGGAGACUGCCGGGGUCAACUCGGAGGAAGGUGGGGAUGACGUCAAAUCAUCAUGCCCCUUAUGUCUUGGGCUUCACGCAUGCUACAAUGGCCGGUACAAAGGGCUGCGAUACCGCGAGGUGGAGCGAAUCCCAGAAAGCCGGUCUCAGUUCGGAUUGGGGUCUGCAACUCGACCCCAUGAAGUCGGAGUCGCUAGUAAUCGCAGAUCAGCAACGCUGCGGUGAAUACGUUCCCGGGCCUU
rnacentral:rRNA from 1 species